UACGUAGGGGGCAAGCGUUGUCCGGAAUCAUUGGGCGUAAAGCGCGUGUAGGCGGUCCGGUAAGUCGGCUGUGAAAGUCCAGGGCUCAACCCUGGGAUGCCGGUCGAUACUGCCGGACUAGAGUUCGGAAGAGGCGAGUGGAAUUCCCGGUGUAGCGGUGAAAUUCGUAGAUAUCGGGAGGAACACCGGUCGGCGAAGGCGGGUCUCUGGGCCGAUA
rnacentral:rRNA from 1 species